CACGUCCGCGCGCGCGCGCGCGGCAGCGAGAGGCGGAGGCUGCUGAGGCGGCUGAGGGGCGAGGCGCGGCGGCGGCGGCGGCGGCGUUUCCUCCCCACCGAAGCGGGGAGGAGGCGGGUGGCCGUCGCGGUGGCGGUGCUGCCCUCGCUGGCCCGAGUCAAGGGAAGCGAGCGCGGCGGGCGGACCCGCAGCACUGUCGCCAUGAUGGCUUAUCUAACCUUGUUAAAGAUGGAUCGCAGUUACUGAUGGGAAGAAGUCCAAUAUGAGUGGAAAUGAUACCGGAGGAAGAAGACGCUUUGAAGACACAGAGCACACACUACACAUCUACCCUGGGAGCAUUGCCGAAGGGACCAUUUACUGCCCUGUUAUUGCACGGAAAACAUCUACCGCUGCCGAGGUGAUAGACUCCCUGAUUAACAAACUGCAGCUGGACAAGACAAAAUGCUACGUCUUGGCCGAAGUGAAGGAAUUUGGUGGGGAGGAAUGGAUCCUCAACCCCACCGACAGCCCGGUCCAGCGCAUGAUGCUCUGGCCACGGAUGGCCCUAGAGAACCGCUUGAGCGGAGAGGACUACCGCUUUCUUCUAAGAGAAAAGAACCUAGACGGGUCGAUCCAUUACGCCAGCCUCCAGUCCUGGUUGCGGGUCACGGAAGAACGGCGCAGGAUGAUGGAACGUGGCUUCCUCCCCCAGCCGCAGUACAAGGACUAUGACGACUUAUGCGCCCUGCCAGAUCUGAACGAGAGGACACUCUUGGAAAACCUUAGAAAUCGCUUCAAGCAAGAGAAAAUCUACACCUAUGUGGGAAGCAUCUUAAUCGUCAUUAACCCCUUCAAAUUCCUUCCCAUUUAUAACCCUAAAUAUGUCAAGAUGUACGAUAAUCAUCAGCUGGGUAAGCUGGAGCCCCACAUCUACGCCGUGGCUGAUGUCGCGUAUCACGCCAUGCUACUGCGGCGGAAGAACCAGUGCAUAGUCAUUUCUGGAGAAAGCGGGUCUGGCAAAACCCAGAGCACAAAUUUCUUGAUCCAUCACCUCACCGCUCUUAGCCAAAAGGGAUUCGCUAGUGGAGUAGAACAAAUCAUUCUUGGAGCUGGACCAGUGCUGGAGGCCUUUGGGAAUGCCAAGACAGCACACAACAACAAUUCAAGUCGCUUUGGCAAAUUUAUUCAAGUAAAUUAUCAGGAGACUGGCACUGUGCGUGGAGCUUAUGUUGAAAAGUAUCUACUAGAAAAGUCCAGACUAGUCUAUCAGGAACAUAAUGAAAGGAACUACCAUGUAUUUUAUUACCUGCUGGCGGGAGCAAGCGAAGAAGAAAAAUCUGCUUUUCACCUUAAACAGCCUGAUGAAUAUCACUACCUUAAUCAGAUGACAAAGAGAUCCCCUAAACAGAGCUGGGAUGACUAUUACUAUGACUCUGAGCCGGAUUGCUUCUCUGUUGAAGGUGAAGACUUGAAGCACGAUUUUGAACGCUUGCAGCUGGCUAUGGAGAUGGUGGGGUUUCUCCCAAAAACCCGCAGGCAGAUAUUUUCCCUUCUGUCAGCAAUACUACACUUGGGUAACAUCCGUUACAAGAAGAAAACCUACCGAGAUGAUUCCAUAGAUAUCUGUAAUCCAGAAGUUUUGCCUAUCGUCUCAGAGUUACUUGAGGUGAAAGAAGAAAUGUUGCUUGAAGCACUGAUUACAAGGAAAACAGUGACUGUAGGAGAAAAACUUGUAUUGCCAUACAAACUGGCAGAGGCUGUAACAGUACGGAAUUCCAUGGCCAAAUCAUUGUACAGCGCCCUGUUUGAUUGGAUCGUGUUUCGAAUUAACCAUGCACUUUUGAAUACCAAGGACUUGGAAGAAAGCACCAAGACUUUGUCCAUUGGAGUACUUGAUAUUUUUGGUUUUGAAGAUUAUGAAAGUAAUAGCUUUGAACAAUUUUGCAUUAAUUUUGCAAAUGAACGUUUACAGCACUAUUUUAACCAGCAUAUCUUUAAACUGGAGCAAGAGGAAUACAGACUGGAAGGCAUCAGCUGGCACAACAUAGACUACAUCGACAACUCUGGCUGUAUAAACCUCAUCAGUAAAAAGCCCACAGGGUUGCUCCAUCUACUGGAUGAAGAAAGCAAUUUCCCACAAGCAACCAAUCAGACGUUACUAGACAAGUUUAAGCGUCAGCAUGAAGGAAAUCUCUACAUAGAAUUUCCUGCUGUAAUGGAACCUGCCUUUAUCAUAAAACACUAUGCCGGGAAAGUUAAAUAUGGCGUGAAGGACUUCCGGGAAAAAAAUACAGAUCAUAUGCGACCUGACAUUGUUGCUCUCCUACGGAGCAGCAAAAGUGCCUUUAUCUGUGGAAUGAUAGGGAUCGAUCCCGUUUCUGUGUUUCGCUGGGCUGUCCUCAGAGCGUUCUUCAGAGCUGUGGUUGCCUUUAGAGCUGCUGGUCAGAAGUACAUUGAGAAAAAAACGGGUUGUGCCUUGAUAGCUGAAGGGCAUGAUGAUGCGGUUUUGAAAAAUGUGGAUAGUUUUAGCUUUCUUCAUCACCCUGUUCAUCAGAGGAGCUUAGAGAUUCUACAGAGAUGCAAGGAGGAGAAGUACAGUAUUGCUCGGAAACGGCCGAGAACCCCCCUCUCUGACCUGCAAGGAGUUAACACUAUUAACGAGAAAAGUCAGCGCGAUGCCUACGGAGUGUGGAAUACCAGAAUGGGCCUCAGACCGAACCGACUCUCCAGCUUCCUUGACAAAGAUGGGAUAUUUGUGAAUUCGACGAACAGCAAGCUUCUGGAGCGUGCCCACGGCAUUCUCAUGCGAAACAAGAACGUUAAAGUCAAGCCCAACCUACCAAAGCACUUGCUGGAGGUGAAAUCCCUGAAGCACCUGACGAGUCUGACUCUCCAUGAUCGUAUCACAAAGUCUCUUCUCCAUCUUCACAAGAAGAAGAAACCACCAAGCAUCAGUGCCCAGUUCCAGGCUUCACUUACCAAGUUGAUGGAGACUUUGGGGCAGGCAGAGCCCUAUUUUGUCAAAUGCAUUCGCUCCAACGCUGAGAAGCUGCCCUUGAGGUUCAAUGAUAACUUGGUGCUGAGACAGCUGCGUUACACAGGAAUGCUUGAGACAGUGCGCAUCCGACAAUCAGGAUAUAGCUGUAAAUAUUCUUUCCAGGAUUUUGUAGACCACUUCCACGUACUUCUCCCACGAGGCACUGCCCCGUCUAAGCAGAAUAUUGAAGGCUUCUUCAGAAAGACAGACCCCAACUCAGAUAGUUACCAAGUUGGGCGAACUAUGGUGUUCAUGAAGGAACAGGGACGACAGCUUUUACAAGGACUGUUGCAUGAGGAAGUUCUGCAAAGAAUUAUCUUAUUGCAGAGCUGGUUCCGGACGAUGCUGUACAGAAGGCAGUUCCUGAGCAUGAGGCAGGCUGCCGUGAUCAUACAGCAUUGUUGGCGUCGUUAUCAGAAAGGAAAGCUAGCUGAAACAGAGGAAGAAUCCCUGAACAAUUCAGCCUUUUUAGACCAAGCUGCUGUGGUCCUUCAGGCAUACUGGCGAGGUUACAUGGCACGGCGAAGAUUCCAGCAGAUGCGGGUUGCAGGCUUCAUUAUCCAGAGCUCUUGGAGGGACUGCUUAAGACGUCGGCACGCUGCAGCAACAUCUAUCCAGGCGCACUGGCGGAGCUACCGCACGAGGACUCUCUACAGGGCCAAAAGAAACAAAAUCAUUUUGUUGCAAGCAGCCUAUAGAGGCUACAAAGCACGGCAGAGGUUUACCACCUUAAAAGAGCAGCGACUGAGUGAAGCCUCACUAAAGAAUAGACUAACAAGUAAAGAUAAUAAAUUAAUACUAGGGUAUAGCUCGGAUAUUAAGGAUUCAGAGUCUUCUGAAUGGGAAGAGAACUCAUUUGAAAAUAGAGUGAAAGCCGUCAAAGACCAUGAAGCGGUUAUGGACAAUAGAGUAGAUCCGUCAAAUUCUUUACACAAACAUCACGAGAGGGCCAACAGCCAGAGCGGAAUGAGCACGGAAGAGGAAGUUCUCGUAAGAGAAAGACCAAAGUCCCUGGAAGACCUCAACCCCAAAAAAGGAGUUCGUGCAAAGCGAGAGAGCCGUCGCAUGCGCGAACUGGAGCAGGCCAUUUUUAGCUUGGAGUUGCUGAAGGUUCGAUCCACUAGUGAGACGUCUCCCUCAGAGGAGCAUCAGUUGUCCCCUGAGUUUGUUUCUGAAGGGAUGCCCUCUCCUCGAACAACUCCGAGGAGUAAAAGCUCUCAGGGAAGUCUAGAGAAGCUAAGCCGGGAUCACAAUGUAAAUCUCAGAGAAUCACUACAUGAUAGUCCGACGUUUGAUGAUGAUCAUGAUGAUGAUGAUGAAGAUGACAAAGACAUCUCCAAAUUUGCUGCUGCUACUAUCAAUAAAAAUGUGUCAAUCUCAAGUUCUGAAUUGCCUGACUGCCUGGCUGCUAAAGAGCGGUCGACUGGUGACCCUUAUGACAGUGUCUCCAACAUGCAUACAAGGGCACCCUUGAUUUCUAGUAGUUUGCCGACAUUUUAUCUUCCCCCACAGGACAAGUUGAAAGUUGGCCGUUCAGUGAGGGACAAUAACCUAAGAAACAAACAGAUGGAAAUGGGGAGCCAUUUUUUUUCCCCAGGCACCAAAAAACAUCCUCAGCCGCAAAGGGCCACACAGAGUACAGCCUUGCCUGAAGAUGGCCAAAGGUCCGGCAGUGGAGAAUUCCCAGCUGUUACAGCUACAGGAGUGCAUCUCUCGGAUAGGGUUAUCGAGAAGUUGGAGAAGUUAAAUGUUGAGAAAGAAGAACGCCAGAAACGAAAACAGAUGCAGAACGAAAGGGAGAUGAUGGAGCAGAUACGACGGCAGACAGAAAUUUUGGGGAAGCAGCAUAAAGUUUUUGAAGCGCUUCAGAGGCAAGAGCAUGAACAGAAUAGGAUGCGGGACUCCUGCCAUGGAACCCCUCUCCCCUCACCUAAGAAAAUGGACAGGGGUCCACCUCUCCCCAUCGCCCAUCCUCAAGGCAAGGGAGAACUAAGACUUGCAACAAACGCAGAAACCGCCUCAUCGGUGAACCUUAAAUCUCCUACUGGCCCCCCAAAAGGAAGCCCCCCUAUUUGCCAGACUGCUCUGAAGGAAAAGACCAUCCCCAUGAACCCAGACAAAAGAGAAGGUCAGACGCCAGUCACCCUGGAAUCUGUUGGAACCGAUUGGUUGAAUUUGCAAACGGGUGCCGAGUCUCAGGAAAGUGUCAGCAAUUUAGCUGCGAGGGAAAAACGGUUCAGAUUGCCUCGAAUUCCUAGCCAGGGCAAGGAAAGCUCUUCUAAGGAAAGCAGAGUUGGUUCCAUUUUCUUUACACCAAAGGAUACUCAUCUGGGCAAUACUUUUAAUAAAGGAUCUUCAGCACCUCUGCUUCUCCCAAAAGAAGAACAGAAAAAGCCACUGAAACUUUCCAGAACAGACAGAGGAGAGCAGGUUGCCCGACCAGUCCAUAAAAAGAAAGCCCGCAUGGCACGGACACGCUCGAAUUUCUUGACUAGAGGUGCUUUUGCUGAUUGGGAGGGGGAUACAGAGGAAGAGGAUUGUGAUGACAAUCUUGAAUUUCUUCUCUCCUUUGAGCAUCCACCACACCUUGAGCCUGGUUAUGCAGUCAGGCUCAAGCAGCCCUGCCAUAGUGACUCUGAAAUGAUGUUACAACGUUCCGCGUCCAACGAAGGCCAAGCAAAGCUUCACAAAACAAUGUCUCAAGGAGAGAUUGGAAAACUGCCAGUUGCCCAGAAGAUCAUAGCCGUGGACAGAAGACCUCAAAGAGCCAAGAUGAGAUUUUGGGGGAAAGGAAGGCAGGGGGAGAAGAAAGUAAGCAGGGAGAAGCUUGCUCCCCAGUCAGAGCUGCUGGAACUGUAUCCCGACCAAGAUGCACCAGGAAGAGACAGGAUUGCAGGUCUACAGCUUGAAGAAGAGCUGAGUCCCCCAGGGAGUCCUGAACUGUCCAGCAUUUAUCGAAGGGAAUGUAAAGAAAACAAAGAGCCAUCCCCAAAGGUGAAGCGAAAACGCAGCCUAAAAAUUAGCAACGUAACUAUGGAACCUGCACAGUGGCAGAACGAUGCUCUUCAGAUCAUAACAAGUGCCAGUGAUUUGAAAAGCAUGGACGAGUUCCUCUUGAAAAAGAUGAACGAUUUGGAUAGCGAAGACUGUAAGAAGGACACUCUUGUGGAUGUGGUAUUUAAAAAAGCUUUGAAAGAAUUCCGGCAAAAUAUCUUCAGUUUCUACUCUUCCGCUUUGGCAAUGGGUGAUGGGAAGAGCAUCCGCUACAAAGAUCUCUAUGCAUUGUUUGAGCAGAUUCUAGAGAAAACCAUGAAACUUGAACAGAGGAACUGGAGUGAAUCCCCCGUACGGGUCUGGGUCAAUACAUUUAAGGUGUUUCUGGAUGAAUACAUGACAGAAUACAUGCCUUUGGAUUAUUCUGCGGCAAAGGUGACAAAAACAGAAAGGAAGAAGAGACGAAAGAAGGAAACAGACAUAGUAGAAGAACAUAAUGGUCAUAUUUUUAAGGCUACUCAAUAUAGCAUUCCUACUUACUGUGAAUUCUGUUCCUCCUUGAUAUGGAUCAUGGACAGGGCCGCUGUUUGCAAAUUAUGCAAAUACGCUUGCCACCGAAAGUGCUGCCAGAAGACCACAACAAAAUGCUCCAAAAAGUAUGACCCAGAGCUUUCUUCACGACAAUUUGGAGUCGAACUCUCUCGCCUGACCAGCGAAGAACGAAUUGUGCCGAUCGUGUUUGAGAAGCUCACCAGCUACAUAGAAAUGCAUGCUUUGUAUACAGAGGGCAUUUACCGGAAAUCUGGAUCAACAAAUAAGAUCAAAGAAUUACGGCAGGGCCUUGACACAGAUAUCGAAAGAGUGAAUCUCGAUGACUACAACAUCCAUGUCAUUGCCAGUGUGUUCAAGCAAUGGCUGAGGGAUUUGCCUAAUCCUCUCAUGACAUUUGAACUUUAUGAAGAAUUCUUGCGAGCCAUGGGUUUGCAGGAGAGGAAAGAGGCGAUCCGCGGGGUCUACUCAGUCAUUGAUCAGCUUUCCCGAACCCAUCUUAAUACCUUGGAACGUCUGAUCUUUCACCUUGUCAGGAUAGCUCUACAAGAAGACACUAAUCGGAUGUCAGCUAAUGCUCUGGCCAUUGUGUUUGCUCCCUGUAUCCUCCGUUGUCCGGACACCACUGACCCUCUGCAGAGCGCUCAGGAUGUCAGUAAAACCAUCAGUUGCGUAGAGUUGAUUGUUAUAGAACAGAUGAACAAAUACCGGGCCCGUCUCAAGGAUAUCAGCAGCCUUGAGUUUGCAGAGAACAAAGCAAAGAGCCGGCUAUCCUUGAUCCGCAGGUCCAUGGGCAAAGGGCGUCUACGUCGAGGCAACUAUCCGAGCCCUACAUCCCCAGCAGGAGUCCGGUUGCCCUCUAUGGCGGAUGCUCCCGAAGAGGCCCUGAGCAGCGAGGAGGCCAUGGAGAUGGAGGUCACCGAACAGCAGCAAGUAGCCAUGCAACAGGAAGAAAAGGUGCUGGCAGAGCAAAUAGAGACCCUGCAGAAAGAGAAGGAAGAACUAACUUUUGAGAUGCUGGCACUGGAGCCUAGAGCCUCUGACGACGAAACACUGGAGUCUGAAGCUUCGAUCGGCACUGCCGACAGUUCUGAAAACCUGAACUUCGAUUCCGAAGGAGCCAUUUCGGACAAGUCAGGCAGAAGCGUAACCUUCAACUCGGCAAGAUCCAUCAAGGCAGACCCGACCGGCACCUCUAGGUCUCGAAGGCAACUGCGCAAGCAGCAGGAGUCUUUGGACUCAGUGGAUUCCUCCCUCCCUUCUCCAUCCCUGUCGCCUUCUUCCUCCCCCUCCUCCUCCUGCCUGCCUCACGUGACCAGGAAACGAUUCCAAAUCUAUUCCAAAUCGCCUUUCUACCGAGCCGCUCCCUCUGGGGACGCUGGGGCGCCGGAGAGAUUGCCAGGACACGCCAAGGCCCUGGAGGACAGGCCCCAGUUCACCACCAGAGGGACAUUCAAUCCGGAGAAAGGCAAGCAGAAGCUGAAGAAUGUGAAAAUCCCCUCCCCCAAAGCCAAAGAACUCCCAGAGGGGUCUGCUGGGACAGGCCGGAAGCGUCACCCCGAUGCUGCUGAUUACCUGAGCCCUCAGCAACUGGUGCUGCUAGGAAACAACGAAUUCAUGGUAUGAGUUGCCUGCGACCAGCCAAGCGGAAGCAUCUCCUCCAUCGCAUCUUCCCUCCACUUCCGCGCCAUCUGCUGCCACUCCGUUGUAAGACCGCUGCUGUCCCCCCCCCCCCCCAAGUCAGCAUCUCCUCCCUGUUUGUGGCUUGGAAUCCUAGCAUUGCAUCGGCCGGUGGAGAAGUGGGGAGCCUCCCUCUUCCAUCUAGAAUGAGUGGAGGAGAAAGUUCAGCUGUGGCCUCGGCUGACUUUAGCCUUCGGAACUCCCGUCCUUUCUCCGCGGGUCAGGCUGGGAGUUUGCAGUGAAAUCAGCAGAGCUGAGGGAAUGAUGGCGGGCGAACCAGGUUUGGCGUGCCCCCUUUUUAAUGGGCCGGGGGAAUGUGUGUCAGCCAGCUGAGAACAUCUGGAGGGCAGCCGGAAUUCAAGAGAGAUGUUCUUGAUCUUGAGGGUCACAGCCAGAGGUGGGAUUCAGCCGGUUCGCACCACUUCGGCAGAACCGGUAGCUCAUUUUUUGUUGCCCAGGCCCAGGAUGGACUUCCAGAAGCGGCAUCCACACAGAGAACCGGUUGUUCACCUAUUUGAAUCCCACCACUGGUCCAAGCUCUUUGGGGUUAGGUUUUUGCACUGGGAUUGAGAAGCAAUGAACUUCUUAGAAGGAGACUGCGCUCUUUGUUCAGGGCUGUUUAUAAUGCACUCCGUGGCAUUGUCAGAUGUGGGAAAUGCUCAUUUUCACUCCAUCACUUCUUAGAUCCAUCAGGUGCAUCUCCGUUGUGAGCAAGAGUUAUUUAUCUAUCUAGUUUUCUUGGUUUAAACUUUUUGGUUGGUGGUGUCAGAAUAACCAAUGCCAGUUUGAUUCCAGCGUAAAAGCUCCGUCCUUGGAAUUGGUCCUGGAGCAUUGAAGGGGAGGGCUCGAUAUCCAAGGGAGACUUUCGUUUGAACUUUUUCUGAAUGUCAGGCAGCAAAAAAUUCCUGCCUGGAUUUCUUCUACCUGCUUGCUGUCUUCCAGGACCUUUCCCAUCUUUUCUUAGCAUCCGUAGAGUUUGUGGACCACCUCCGCUCCCCCCCCCCCCCGCGAUAUUAAGUGAAUGUACUCCCCACUCGGAAGGACAUUGGCUGCAUAUAAUUAUUUUUAAACGGAAAUUUUUAAAAGUAAUUUAUAAGUAUACUGAGUGUACAUUUUAAAAGCAGACUAUGUAUUGUAAAAGGAUAUACUGUCCUGUGUCAUAUUCUAUAAAUUUUACCUGUGAGAGAAGAAAUUCUAUAAAUGCUUUAUUUUGCUCACGGAGCUGGAUGAUGUGCAGUUAACUUGGUCAGCCGGCACACUUGUUAUUUCACAUCUGAAAGGAUUUCUCUCCCCCCCCCCCGAUAAUAUUAUUUUGUUACUUUUUUUCUGAAACAAGGCCGUCAUAUUUGAAGUGCAAUUUGUGUAAUAUUUCAUAAAUACAAUGCUAUUCUAUGGCUGUACAAAAACAACUUUAUGAACAAAUAACCCCCCAGCUUAUUAAAGAACAAAAGAAUGGAAAAUAAAGUGAUAGUGGCAGA